GACUAAGUAAUGAAAUUAUCAUACUGGUCUUGUAAACCAGAAUUGGACAAGUUCCCUAAGUCU
rnacentral:tRNA from 1 species